AAUGCUCAUCAUCCCAAUCGCGUCGAGUGCGGGAAUGAGCAAGCCCUGGAAGAAGAAGGCGAUCGGAGCUGAUGGAGUGCGAUAAGAACUCUAUCAUCAAGCGCGCCUCCAUUCCUGCUAGAGAUUUGAGGAUCAUCGGCCCUAUAUUCUCUCACUCCUCCAGUAUCCUUGGUUCUUCUGUUUAUUGAUCAGCUGAGGCACCAACUGCCACAGAAGAGUGUUGUACAAGAUGAGGAUUUGCAAUUUCCAAAUGCUGGGGAAUGGCUGCAAGUACCACAAGUUGUUGAAGGGUUGCAGGAAGAACUUGAGAGAGAUGGUUACCCUGUUCUUGAUGAACUUGCUAUGAGUGUUAGCACAGGGAACCUUUAACACGUGAAAAAAGGCUUCACAUACCAGAUCCUGGUGGCACCUGAAGAUCUCGACAUCUUCUUGCAGCUUUCAACUGCAAAUGUCACUCAGAGAAUUACUAUCCCAUAUUCAGGUGCCUUAGCUGUGAUUAGGCACAGGAUCAGGCAAGUUUAUGAUAUUGUCGAGUCUUCAACAGAUGAGGAUUUUGGUGUUCCAACACUACGGAUUCAUGAUAGAGUUCUAGUUAAACAGGAGUCAGAGAAUCACCUUUCUGUGCAUUGGACAGUGGGUCCUAUUAGUGAUAUGUUCUCAGACUCUGUUGUAGCAUUGGUUUUAAAUGCAAACUGAGAAAUGCCAAAGUUGGUUGUGGAAUCAGAACCGGUGGUAAAUGAAGAGGAAGAUGCAAAGAAAACUGAGAAAAUUAUUCACACACUGUUGGUCUCUUUGUUUGGUGAUGUAAAACUUGGAGAGAAUGGCAAAUUCGUUAUAAAUGUCGAUGGGAACAUAGCGGAACUUGACAAACAGAUUGGUGAUGUUGAAACUGAAAACGAUGUCCUCAAAGAACAAGUUAGAAAAGCAUUUAGGCGAAUCACAAGUGCUUUGAAGCCCAUCCCACUCUCAUCACCUUAGAUUAAGGGCAUAUGACUUUCAGAGCAGCAAAUCCUGCCUCUUUUGCCAGGGCUUCAAAUUGUCUCUGUGUUCUCUCCUUCCCUCCAGGAUUCAUUGUCAUCAUGAGUACGUCAGCGUAAAAUGGACAACCAUACCCGACAUCUUUCUCAGGAUGUUCUGGCAGUAUAGCUUCUACUAACACCACCUUACCAGAUUCUGGCAAAGCUUUCCAACAGUUCUUCAGCAGCUUCAGGCAAUGCUCAUCAUCCCAAUCGUGUAGUAUCCACUGCAGUUUUCAGAACAAUUUACUUAGAUCUUGUGUAUAACAAAGAUACCAUCAUUUUCUUCAUUUUUCGCAAGUUGUCUUUACACUAAUGGUAUAUUUUACUGAGCAAUGAGCACUAACCUUCAUGAAUA